GUACUCGCUUCGGCAGUACAUGUACUAAAAUUGGAACGAUACAGAGAAGAUUAGAAUGGCCCCUGCGCAAGGAUGACACAAGAAUUUUUUGUAAUUUAGUUUU